rnacentral:rRNA from 1 species
AACGAACGCUGGCGGCAUGCCUAACACAUGCAAGUCGAACGAGACCUUCGGGUCUAGUGGCGCACGGGUGCGUAACGCGUGGGAACCUGCCCUUAGGUUCGGAAUAACUCCCCGAAAGGGGUGCUAAUACCGGAUAAUGUCUUCGGACCAAAGAUUUAUCGCCUUUGGAUGGGCCCGCGUUGGAUUAGCUAGUUGGUAGGGUAAAAGCCUACCAAGGCGACGAUCCAUAGCUGGUCUGAGAGGAUGAUCAGCCACACUGGACUGAGACACGGCCCAGACUCCUACGGGAGGCAGCAGUGGGGAAUAUUGGACAAGGGGCGAAAGCCUGAUACAGCAAUGCCGCGUGAGUGAUGAAGGACUUAGGGUUGUAAAGCUCUUUUACCCGGGAUGAUAAUGACAGUACCGGGAGAAUAAGCGCCGGCUAACUCCGUG